GACGAACGCUGGCGGCGUGCUUAAUACAUGCAAGUCGAACGGAAAGGCCCUGCUUUUGUGGGGUGCUCGAGUGGCGAACGGGUGAGUAACACGUGAGUAACCUGCCCUUGACUUUGGGAUAACUUCAGGAAACUGGGGCUAAUACCGGAUAGGAGCUCCUGCUGCAUGGUGGGGGUUGGAAAGUUUCGGCGGUUGGGGAUGGACUCGCGGCUUAUCAGCUUGUUGGUGGGGUAGUGGCUUACCAAGGCUUUGACGGGUAGCCGGCCUGAGAGGGUGACCGGCGACAAUGGGACUGAGAUACGGCCCAGACUCCUACGGGAGGCAGCAGUGGGGAAUAUUGCACAAUGGGCGGAAGCCUGAUGCAGCAACGCCGCGUGCGGGAUGACGGCCUUCGGGUUGUAAACCGCUUUCGCCUGUGACGAAGCGUGAGUGACGGUAAUGGGUAAAGAAGCACCGGCUAACUACGUG
rnacentral:rRNA from 1 species